rnacentral:tRNA from 1 species
AUUUAAAUAGUUUAGUUAAAAAUUUUGAUUUGUGGAGUCAAAGAUGUAUUUGUUACUUUAAAUA